GAGUGAUUUGUUGGGUUCUUCCAUUUCAAAACGUUCAUUUAAGCUUCCCAAUCCCAUGUAUUACAUCCCUUGAUGACUUCUGAUUGGAUUCUUUUUUACUGAUUUUUAGUUGGAUACUUUUUUUAUUCAAAUGUUCAAUAAGUACCUGUACAAAUUGGAUAGAACAUCAUUCUUCUGAUCCCGGAAAGCUGUUGAAAACGGGAUUGAAUAGUGUGUUGUGUUGGAUGCUGCAUGCCAAACGUGUCAAUGAUGUUAAAUCAUUAUGCUUAUUUGAUGAGUUUUUGUGACUUGCUAAGCAUUCAACUGGAAACCCUUACUAUGAGUUUUUUUUAUGUGAUUUCAGAUAUCUGAUAUGCGUUCUCUGGUGAUGAUGUGUAGGUUGGAGCUUUUCGAUAGUGUGGAGUUCGAUAAAUGGGUCGAGAAGGGAACGGCUCCUGCUAUACAGUCCAGUUUAAAGCUUUACAAAGAGGUUUUGAGGUUGGGAUUCAAGGUGGUCUUGUUGACUGGCAGAAGCGAAAGGCAUAGAAGUGUUACUGUUGAGAAUUUGAUCAGAGCUGGAUUUCAGGAUUACGACAAACUCAUAUUGAGGUUAGUAUUGAAAUUGCUUGUUUCUUAUAAUAGGUAUGAUAAGAUUUUGUAGGCAAACUCUUGUUUAUAGUAUCCCUGCAGUAAUCUUGUUUCAUAAUUCUCUACAAGCAAUGUGUCGUUCAUUAACUGAGGAUCUCAACUGAGCAAGCAAAUGCUAAUUCUCAGACGAAGUAUGAAAACACCUGUGUCCAUAUAGAACUUUACCUAGAAGACGAGAUGAUGGAUAAGAUUCAAAUGAAAAUAAUUAAUCCUUAUCAAGGCAUAAUUUCAUAAUGGGAGCUCAAGUUGAGAUGAAGAACAAGAGAAUCUUUCUUUCGAAGUAAUAUAAAUAGGUGUCAUUGUCUUGACAAGGAGCCCCGUUUAAUUUAUCAGUAAGUACUUAAAAAAGCCAUUUGUGGUGGAUUUUAGUCUAGAUUAAACCUUAGUUAUGAUUAAUCUUGGACAAUUUUUUAUCUGUGCUUUUGUUACCAUCAUUUUGCUGUACAAUAUUGAAGAAUAGUUAUUAGGUGAAAAGUAGCAUCAAUCUUUCUGUGACUGCAUAGCAUUAUAGUACUAAAUACACUGAGAGUUGGAAUUUGAUUGCUGAGAGAUACGUGUGGAUGAUCUGGAGUGCUACCUUAUUAGUCUGAAUCCAAAACCGAAUAUAUUGAGGAAUUUUAGAUAAAUUGGACAAGGCAACAUAUGGAACCUUAAUAUUCACAAGCCUGAAGUGUAGAGUAGCUCAUUUGAUUUAUCUAUCCUUCAAAAGGUAGGUCUUUUGCUGUAACUGUGAACUGAACAGUUUUCUAUCCUUAAGGAUUCUGCAUAAGGAAAUUGAAUUAUCCUUUCGAUUUGAGGUGAGAAAGCUUCGAAUUUAGUGGAGUAUAUUUUAUGUGCAUACAAAAUUAUACAUGCCUGGUAUCAUUUAAGGCUCAAAAUAAAUUCUUGUUAAUCUUGGUCAAUUGUCCCUUUUUGGUUAGUGGAGUUGGAUUUGGAUGAAUAUUCCCAAUUUUCCAUGCAAAAAUGAGCUUUUGGUCGCAGUUUUGUUGCUAUUCUUUAAGCACCAUUAGAGCAUGUAGGCUUAGAAAAACCUACAAGUACUUGAAAGAAAUUCAAGUAAACACUUGCUUUCAAAUAUGUUUUUGUUGGGAAAAAAUUACUUACAAGCUUAUGCAUAUGCUUGAUCGCGUUUACGAUAAAGUAAUGUUACGUAUAAGUACUUUUUUGUGAAUUAUGUUCUAGUUUAAUUAGAAGCUACUUAUUUCCGAAGAUUUUUAUUUCAAGAACUUAUAUUUUCUUAAAACUGUGCAGGGGCUCGGAGGAUCACGGGAAGACAGCGACAAAAUAUAAAUCAGAGAAGAGGAGUGAGAUGGAAGCUGAGGGUUACAGAAUUAUGGGCAAUUCUGGAGAUCAAUGGAGUGAUUUGUUGGGUUCUUCCAUUUCAAAACGUUCAUUUAAGCUUCCCAAUCCCAUGUAUUACAUCCCUUGAUGACUUCUGAUUGGAUUCUUUUUUACUGAUUUUUAGUUGGAUACUUUUUUUAUUCAAAUGUUCAAUAAGUACCUGUACAAAUUGGAUAGAACAUCAUUCUUCUGAUCCCGGAAAGCUGUUGAAAACGGGAUUGAAUAGUACAAGGCAGUAUCAAAG
rnacentral:lncRNA from 1 species